rnacentral:rRNA from 1 species
GAUGAACGCUAGCGGGAGGCCUAACACAUGCAAGCCGAGCGGUAGAGAUUCUUCGGAAUCUUGAGAGCGGCGUACGGUGCGGAACACGUGUGCAACCUACCUUUAUCUGGAGGAUAGCCUUUCGAAAGGAAGAUUAAUACUCCAUAAUAUAUUGAUUGGCAUCAAUUGAUAUUGAAAGCUCCGGCGGAUAGAGAUGGGCACGCGCAAGAUUGGUUAGUUGGUGAGGUAACGGCUCACCAAGACGAUGAUCUUUAGGGGCCUGAGAGGUGAUCCCCACACUGGUACUGAGACACGGACCAGACUCCUACGGGAGGCAGCAGUGAGGAAUAUUGGUCAAUGGGUGCAAGCCUGAACCAGCCAUCCCGCGUGAAGGACGACUGCCCUAUGGGUUGUAAACUUCUUUUGUAUAGGGAUAAACCUACCCUCGUGAGGGUAGCUGAAGGUACUAUACGAAUAAGCACCGGCUAACUCCGUGCCAGCAGCCGCGGUAAU